UUCAUUAUGGCCGGCCAUAGUAAGAACAAAGAGAGGAAAGGAAGAACACAAAACCUAGGUGGGAAAAUUGAAGAAAAAGUGUGGGAUUUCAAAGAAUCAAGCAAUCAAAGGUAAAAUUUCUUGAUUUUGACUUGUGAUCUACCUUUCCCAUGCAUUUCUCCUUAUUUUCCAUGGUUAGAUUUCAUGUUUUCAUGAUGAAUUCAUGGCUGGUCAAAAUGGGUAUGGAGAGAGAAAGAUGUUGGAUUGAUUUGAUUUUAAGUUAUGUUAGUGUUUUUAGAUAGUUUAGCAUAUUUCGAAACAAAACAACAAAAAAAGAAUUCAUUUUUCCCCAUCACCAUCAUUGGCCGAAUUUUCUAGGGAGGAUAUUGUGACUGAAAUUGAUGAUAUUUCAUGAUAUUUGUGUGAUAAUUGAUGUUUGGUGAGGCUAGAAAUUAAAUGGGAAAUUUUGGUGUGAAAAUCUGAAUUUUUGCUCAACGUAUAGACAUGUGUGAUUAUUGACCCGAGAUUGAUAAAUUAAAUCUCAUUCAUAGUCACUGGGGUAAUUUAGGUAUAAUUGGAGUGUAGAAAGUGAGAAGAAUUGAUUUGGAGUUAAAUUGGAGAUUUUAGCCAAUUACAUCGAGAAUAAUGUGAAUUAGGUCGAAUACCGUAUUUAAACAGCUAUUCGGACAUUUUGCAUCACAUUUCGUACAUUCAUAUAGAUUUAUAGAGCUUGAAAUAGUUUAUGAUAAAUUGACAUAAUUUAUUGAAAUUCAUGUCACGUAUGAUGUAUAGGUGGUGAGCCCUCUAACAAGAGUAAAGAGAUUGUGCCCGAAGACCGAGAAUAGGAGUAUAUCGAACUACUAGUACUGUGAGUAACCUUAUCAUCAUUUUAAUUAUCUAAAGUAUGAUUUUAAUCGAUUUUGGUGAAAUUUUAUGAAAAUGAGUUUAAAUGGUUAAUUUUUGGUUUUACUAAUAAAAUAUGUUUAAAUAAAAUGAUUUUAUAAAUUGUCUUGAAAUGAAAUAACGAUUUUGAAAAAUAGAGUAAUUGGAGACCACUGUUAUGUUGUAGAUUUAUGAUUGGAAUUGAUGGCUUAUGUUAAUGUGUUGGCAUGACUGGCUAGGCUAUGUUUUAUGAAUUGUAUGAAUUGUUUUAUUUUACCCUUGCAGGCUGGGUAGUAAUAUAUUAGCCCUGUCAUGCUGUCAAAAUUUUAUUGUAUGGUGGGCUUAGCUUACUGCAGUAGGCGGGUUUCCAUGGACUAGCCUAUUAGAGGGGCACGGUAAACCCCGUUAUAUUUUACCUCGGUUGGAGAGGCGAGUAGGGUAACUCCCGAGGUAUAACUUUUAGAGUUCACUUCAUGCCAAACCACCAUGUGAGGGGGAACUCGGUCAACGCCAAGGAAUGACUAUAUUUUCAAAAUAAAAACAUGAUUUAUGUGUUCAUAACUUUUUAAUAGCCUUGGCGGACUCGGUUGGGAUAGUCCUCGAUCAAGGUAUCCUUGAUAACUAAGUAUGAUAAUGAUUUUGGCACGAGCCAAAGUUUGAAAAAGUUCAUAAGCCAUACUGAUUACUUGAUUUAAAUAAAUUGAUUUCAUUUUGUUGAAAUAAGUCGAAAGAUGAUAAAUUACAGUUUGAUGAAAUGUUUUAAUAGUCUCAUUUUACUCGUCUUUAGAUAUUUUAAAUGAUAUUUGUUUACUCACUAGGAUUAUAUAAUCUCACCACCCUCAUUUCCACCCAUUUCAGGCUUGGAAUAAAUUGUAGAUAAUUGAUAUCGACGAGGACUACAGUUGGACUUGCCACAUUCAAAAACUGUAGGUUCAUUUCUUUUGAUACUUUUAGUCAUUUGUGGGCCCACGUGUCACUGUAAAUUAAAUUCUAUAAUUUGGUUAUCUGUAUCACUGUAUGUAGGAAUUUAUUUUGCUUUUACGCUGUAAAAAUUAUUUAUGCAGUGUUCUUAAAAUAUUGUUUUAUGAGAAAAUUGAAUAUUUUAUUCAAUAUUUUUGUUUUAUACUAAUAGU
rnacentral:lncRNA from 1 species